UGGGAACGCGAAGAACCUUACCAGGGCUUGACAUCCUACUAAUGAAGCAGAGAUGCAUUAAGUGCCCUUCGGGGAAAGUAGAGACAGGUGGUGCAUGGUUGUCGUCAGCUCGUGUCGUGAGAUGUUGGGUUAAGUCCCGCAACGAGCGCAACCCCUAUUGUUAGUUGCUACGCAAGAGCACUCUAGCGAGACUGCCGUUGACAAAACGGAGGAAGGUGGGGACGACGUCAAAUCAUCAUGCCCCUUAUGUCCUGGGCCACACACGUAAUACAAUGGCGUUAAACAGAGGGAUGCUAAGCCGUGAGGUGGAGCGAACCCCUAAAAGGCGUCUCAGUUCGGAUUGCAGGCUGCAACUCGCCUGCAUGAAGUCGGAAUCGCUAGUAAUCGCGGAUCAGAAUGCCGCGGUGAAUACGUUCCCGGGUCUUGUACACACCG
rnacentral:rRNA from 1 species